CCUACGGGGGGCAGCCGUGGGGAAUAUUGGACAAUGGGGGGAACCCUGAUCCAGCCAUGCCGCGUGUGUGAAGAAGGCCCUCGGGUUGGAAAGCACUUUCAGUGAGGAAGAACGCCUGGUGGUUAAUACCCAUCAGGAAAGACAUCACUCACAGAAGAAGCACCGGCUAACUCCGUGCCAGCAGCCGCGGUAAUACGGAGGGUGCGAGCGUUAAUCGGAAUUACUGGGCGUAAAGCGCGCGUAGGUGGCUUGAUAAGCCGGUUGUGAAAGCCCCGGGCUCAACCUGGGAACGGCAUCCGGAACUGUCAAGCUAGAGUGCAGGAGAGGAAGGUAGAAUUCCCGGUGUAGCGGUGAAAUGCGUAGAGAUCGGGAGGAAUACCAGUGGCGAAGGCGGCCUUCUGGACUGACACUGACACUGAGGUGCGAAAGCGUGGGUAGCAAACAGGAUUAGAUACCCUUGUAGUC
rnacentral:rRNA from 1 species